AUCAGACAAUUUGUGGACACUCUUAUUGUGACGAGGACAAUUUUAGUCCUUCCUCACUCUUCCUGUUAAAUGCCUCAUUUGAGAAGGGGUAAUUGCGUCUUUUCAUCCUACCUCAUUCUUCAUCAUCAUUCACUCUACUUCUUUACUUACAGUGUUGGUCGUCGAAGGAUGGAAACAAGGUCAUAGUCCAAACAUCAAUAUUAAAAUCACAAUCGAACAAAUCAUCAACAGUAGCAGAAUGAAGUAACUAAUGCUCAUCUCAACUACAAACAACAGAGCAGCCACUUAGUAAAUUCAAAUCUUCAAAUGCUCAUCUCAACUACAAACAACAGAGCAUCCACCUAGUAAAAUAAAAACUUCAAAUGCAAAUUGCAUAAGCAACUACACAAAAUACAGUGAGUAAUAAGAUAAAAAAGAUAGCCAUUCAGAUUAGACAUGGAUAUGGAAUCCGCAAUUCAAACACUUAUUAUGAGCAUUAAAAUUUAAAUGGAUAUAUAAAAAAAUGAAAUAAGAGUAGAGGUACGGAUCGAAACGAGGAGGAGAACCUUGCGGACGUAUCCGUACUCGCUUUCCUUUUCGGAAUCUUCGAAAGUAGUCAGCGGACCUCCGAACAACGACGACAUUGUGACGAAAGGUAAUCGUAAUCGUGAAAGAAUUUGUUAAAAGGAUAUCCAUUUUUCUUCAAUUUCCACUCUAUUUUUUGCUAAUACCUUCACACAAUCUGCUUCCUCUGUAAAUUUAAUGAGAACAUUUCUCGAAUCAAGAGAUCCGAUGUGCGCCUUGCCUGUAAUUGGAAGGAUUUUCAGAAAUUGAGCCCUAAUUGCUUCAAUUGUGGGCUUCUCCUUCAAAAACUUGCCAAUCAAGGUUAGUUUCCUCUCUUUUUUUUUCUGCUAGAUUUUCCCAAUCUGAUUCCUUAAUUGAGACAAUAGGCUUGCCUUCGUGUUUCCUUUGCGUAGCUGAACCUAGAUUAUCAGAAAUUGUACCUUGAUUUCCAUUCGCAGGCAAUCGCUGUUCCGAUCCUGCUUCACGAUUCUGACUUUUCAUCGGCUCUAUUUCGCGAUUCUGCACCUCUCUGCUUCACAAUUCUGCACCUUAGAGCAUAAGGAAAUUGUUGAAUUAAACCCAAAGGAAAUUGUUUAGACCACUGGAACUUCAUCUCUCUUUGGGUCUGAUGGUUGGCUGAGAACGACAAUGAAAUGGGCUGCAAAGUGAAGAAGAAGGAGGGCUGAAGCCUAGAAGCGAAAGGUGAAGCAAAUUAGCAAACCCCCAGUCUCCCAUAGUUCGAUUAUCCUCUUCGUUUCUCGCCGCCUUGUCCGACAAACAAUCUCCGGCAUACAACUUCACCGUGAAUAACAUCCUAUUAGAUUCAUUCUAGCUACUAGCUACUCUACCAGGUGUUUACUUGAUAGGUUAUUGGAUAAUGGAACCGGGGAGAGAUAGAAUCAGUCAACUUCCUGUAGAAAUACUUGAUCACAUCUUGGAAUUUUUGCCUAUUAAAGAUGCUGCUAAAACCGCUGUUCUGUCUUCCGUUUGGAGAGAUGUUUGGUCCAAUCUCACACAACUUAACUUUGAUCAUCACUUCUUUUCUUAUAUGGAUGAGAAACAUUAUCGUGCUAGCAAUUAUGUCACAGAAUCUGCCGCGGGUUUUUAUGUGAUCAACAAAGUUCUCCCCCAGCACAAUGGAGCAAUUCAGAAAUUUGUUCUCAAAAUUCUUGAUGUUGGGAUAUUCAUAGUUAAGUCUUGGUCUUAUGACUUCGACCAAUGGUUACUUUUAGUUACACGGAAAGGUGUUGAGGAAAUGAAGAUUAGUCUUGGGUAUAAUAUAUACAAGCUGCCGAAUUAUAUAUUUUCUUGUUCAACACUCAAGAGGUUGCAUCUUGCUUAUGUCCUUGCAUCUUGCUUAUGUCGUUGUUCAACCAAUGAAUUCUCCCAACAUACUACCAAAUGUUACUUUGCUUAGUUUUGAUCAUGUUAAAUUUGAUCCUAUAAACCCUUCACCUUGUGCCAUUGAUGUUCCUGUACUUGAGAGUCUGUUAAUUUGUUGGUGUGAAAACACUUUUAAUUUUAACAUGACUGCUCCAAAGCUAUGUGAUUUAACAAUCGAAGCUUGCUACUCUUAUUGUUUGGACAAAUUUCUUCCGGUUAAUUUGGACUUGAGAUCUAUUUCUACUCUGAAUUUGCAAUAUUCAAAUAUCCAGGAAUUUGUUGAAGAAAUUAGUAGGAUGGGAUUUCAACUAAAUGUGGAAAGCCUUAAGCUAUCAUUUUAUUGCCAAAGUAAUACAAUAAUUCCUGCACUUGUUCAUUUGCUGCAAUCAUGCCCCAAGUUAUGCAGACUUGACAUGGAUGUAUAUGGGCUUGAGGAGAUGUCAACUAGAUAUAAUGGUGUCUUUUUGGAGCUCUUGUCAAAACUUUAAGGCGUGGCACAAACAAAUAAAAUGCUUCGUGCUUUGAAGUUUACCUCAUUUAUGGGGUUGCAGUCUGAAAUUCUUUUCAUUAAGGAGGUACUUGCCUGUUUUUCAGCGCUUGAAAAGGUUUUCAUUAUUUUUGCCGCACUUAAUAACCAAACAAAGGAGUUCAUGUUUGGAAUUAAGCAACAACUUUUGCAUUUUCCUUGUGCCUCCACAAAAGCAGAAAUUGUUGUUUUGCAUUUUUCUCGUGCCUCCACAAAAGUAGAAACUGUUGUUAUUUAAUGGGUAUGUUUCUGUUGAACUUACGCGCUUUGGUUUG